AGGAAACCUAGGCUAAAGAUACCAUGUGGGAGAGAAUAAUGCUUGUAUUCCUCCAACCCUAGAAGGGUGGGUAUAUAUAAUACCUAUACAUGGGCCUCUAGAUGGGCCUCUAUACACAUGGGCUCGAUAUACUCCAACAAUUAUAUUCAAGAUUACUGAGAGCAGCCAUUUCCCCUACUAUUUUGAAUUUGAGAUCUGGUAUCAACAAGGCAACCAGGAUAUCAUUGCAGUCCAGCUAUGUGAGACUGUAAAUCUGACAUGCCAGCUUCUGAGCCGAACUCGUGGUGCAGUAUGGGCUGCUGUCUCCCCACCAAGUGGCCCUCUGUCCAUAAGGAUGCUAUUUAGCAGCGGAGAACCAAAUGGUGGCAACCAGAAAUGGUUAGUUCCCACAAGCAUAAUACCACAGAACUGGACAGCAGGGGCCACGUAUGAUUCUGGGAUCCAAGUGCAGCUGCAGUAGCUAUGAUUGCGGGAAUAUAUAGCUAGUAUGAUGAUUGAUUGUUCUAUAAUCAUGUAUAAUCUUGCGGCAUAUUCAUUGUAAUAUCUGAAGAUUUUGAUGCCUAUAUAUGAAUAAAUAUCUCAUUGAAGAA